GUUCAGUGUAAAGUAUAUAUGGCCAAGUUUUGAAGGUUGUUAUAAGCGCAUAAACAGUUGACGCAGAAACAGUUGACGCAUAAAUAGUGGCUUGCCUGUGUCUCGCAGACUGGCAGAAUAAUGAGGCUUCUUAUUUUGAACGUGCUCACAUUCUGUAGCGUUCUGGUGCUAGUAACAUCCUUUGUACCUUACUAUAAUCCUUCUGGAAAUAUGUAUGGUACUAACUCCUAUGCCCCGAACGCUUACAUGGACAAGAAAACGUAUAUGCCGCAGCCUUACAAAAAGGGGAAAGGGUCCGAGGUGCACAUCCAUAAACAUUUCUACAAUAUCAACAUCAUUAUUUGGGUGUUCUUGCUCAUCAUAAUCAGUAUAUUUAUCAAGCCUCAGAGUGGUAAAAAAAUUGUUAUUGUCAACAAAGAACAGAAACAUUCAAGCCAUUCAAGUCAUUCAAGUGAGGGCGACAGCUAUGGUUACCGUGAAGAUUAUUAUUAACUCAAUCUAAAGGUGUGAUUUUGGACUGGCAGCACAAAUGCUCUGCAAGAUAUUCUACGAACGCCAAUUCAUGGCAAAAUAUGUAUUUUUGUUCGCUUUCAAGAAAAAAAUGAAUUAUGGAAAUUAAUAAAAUUCAAUAAGUUAA